AUCUAGUUGACGGGUCACAAAUAGGACGAAACCUGCGUCCUGGAU
rfam:Schistosoma mattheei strain Denwood, Zambia genome assembly, scaffold: SMTD_contig0001715